rnacentral:rRNA from 1 species
CAAAUCAGGUAGGACUACCCGCUGAACUUAAGCAUAUCAAUAAGCGGAGGAAAAGAAACUAACAAGGAUUCCCCUAGUAACUGCGAGUGAAGCGGGAAAAGCUCAAAUUUAAAAUCUGGCAGUCAUUUGGCUGUCCGAGUUGUAAUCUAGAGAAGUGUUAUCCGCGCUGGAC